rnacentral:lncRNA from 1 species
AUUCAAAAGGCAAUAAAAAAAAUAAUAAAAAUAAAAAUAGAAAUUAAAAAGAAAGAGAAAAAGUGUAAAAAAUGCAGUCAUUUGGACUAUGGUUAUAAAAAUAAAAAUAAAAUAAAAAGUUUUUUAUGGUGUCGAUAAAAAAUAAAAGUUGAAGUGGCUAUUUUAGAAUUGCUUAUAGUUAGCAUAGUUAGAGUUAGUUAAUUCGUGAAUUAUUAAAAAUUCGAAUAAAACGGCAUGUAUACAAUUCAUUCCUAAAAAGUCAGAAUAAUACGCGAAUCGUUUGAUUAGAUUUAUUAUUCGCGAAUAAUUCACAAAUGCUGAACUAUUCGGCCAAAAAAACACGCAAAUUUUUUAAAUAAAAUUUCUUUCUGAAUUAUCGUCGAAUUAUUCACGAAUUAUUAAAAAACUUCAUGAACUUUCGAAAUAUGUGGAACAUGAAAAACAUGAGGAUGGAGACGACAAUAAAAUUUACUAUCAUUUUUUUUACUUAAUCUACUUUAUUUUGUAGCUCUCUUUUUUUAUAUUUUUAAGAAUUUAUAACUAUGA